rnacentral:rRNA from 1 species
GACGACGCUGGCGGCGUGCCUCAUACAUGCAAGUCGAGCGGAUGCAGGAAUGCAUUAGCGGCGGACAGGUGAGUAACACGUGGGCAACCUGGCCUUAAGAGGGGGAUAACGUUCCGAAAGGGACGCUAAUACCGCGUAAAUCAGCGAAAUCGCAUGAUUUUGUUGGAAAAGGAGAAAUCCGCUUAAGGAUGGGCCCGCGGCCUAUUAGCUAGUUGGUAGGGUAACGGCCUACCAAGGCGACGAUAGGUAGCCGACCUGAGAGGGUGAACGGCCACACUGGAACUGAGAAACGGUCCAGACUCCUACGGGAGGCAGCAGUAGGGAAUAUUCCGCAAUGGGCGAAAGCCUGACGGAGCAACGCCGCGUGAGUGAAGAAGGUCUUCGGAUCGUAAAGCUCUGUCAACAGGGACGAAACAAGACGGUACCUGAGAAGGAAGCCACGGCAAACUACGUG